GCGAGGCAUUUGCCAAGUCUUACAUCUCCCACCCAAAUCAUGCAGCACCGGGUGCUGUGGGAAGUGAAAGCACAAUGGAAACCUCAUGUAUGGCAUUGCAGUUGCUUUGAAAAUUAUCAUAUAAUAUCAUCAUUAUUGUUUAUUUUAAUUUCUAUUUGACUAUUUAAAUUGUAUUUGUUUAUUUAUUUAUUUAUUUUUUAUUAUUAGAAUGAGACAAGAUGAACUGAGGGAGAGAGAGACUGUAAUAAUGUAUGCUGGAGGGGGCGGAGCAUAUAGUGCCCUUUUGUUGAUGAUGCUGCAAGAGACUGUACUCACUUCUGCCUGUGGGAUGCCGAGAGAGACUCUUUACCACAAACCUACAAAAACCUACAUCACAUAGAGCUAAUCAUUUCUGCAAAUGUAUUUUUAUAGGAACAUGGGAAUUUGGGAAUAUACUCUUUAUUUUACUACCACAGCCUGCCUAUGGAGUGUGUCACUUCAGGGAGAGCAUCAGAGGAGACUCUACAGAGACCUGAUGAAAGACUAUAACCCGCUGGAGAGACCUGUGUUUAAUGACACACAAUCACUCACUGUUUAUUUCACCUUCAGUCUCAUGCAGAUUAUGGAUGUGGAUGAGAAGAAUCAAGUACUUACAACCAACAUUUGGUUACAGCUGUACUGGUAUGACUACUAUCUUCAGUGGAACUCCUCUGAAUAUCCUGGAGUGACGAGUGUAAGAUUCCCUGACAGUCAGAUCUGGAAGCCUGACAUCUUACUUUAUAACAGUGCUGAUGAAAGGUUUGAUGCCACAUUUCAUACUAAUGUGCUGGUGAACUCCUCCGGUGCCUGCCAAUACCUUCCGCCAGGGAUAUUCAAAAGCACUUGCCACAUCGAUGUUCGCUGGUUCCCCUUUGAUCUUCAGAGGUGCGAUUUGAAAUUUGGCUCCUGGACUUAUGGGGGAUGGUCUCUGGACCUGCAGAUGAUUGAUGCUGACAUCACAGGAUAUAUCGCUAAUGGAGAGUGGGACCUUGUGGAGGUUCCAGGUCGAAGGAAUGAGAGAUUCUAUGACUGCUGCAAGGAGCCGUAUCCAGAUGUGACUUUCACGGUGGUGAUGCGGAGACGGACGCUAUACUACGGCCUCAAUCUGCUUAUUCCCUGUGUGCUCAUCUCUACUCUGGCUCUUCUCGUCUUCCUGUUGCCUGCUGACUCAGGCGAGAAGAUCUCUCUUGGGAUCACAGUCCUGCUCUCAUUGACAGUUUUCAUGCUUCUGGUAGCAGAGAUCAUGCCGGCGACAUCAGACUCUGUACCCUUAAUAGCUCAGUAUUUUGCCACCACCAUGGUGAUUGUUGGACUGUCUGUGAUAGCCACAGUCUGGGUAUUACAAUACCACUACCAUGAUCCUGAUGGAGGAAAAAUGCCAAAAUGGACCCGUGUGGUGCUGUUGAACUGGUGCGCCUGGUUCCUGCGGAUGAAGAGGCCCGGCGAGGACAGAGUUCGCUCAGCUUGUCACAAUAAGCAGCCGCGCAGCAGCUUCUCCAGCGUGGAUCUGAACAUCAGCACUGGAGCCGCACAGUCCACCAAUGGAAACCUGCUGUACAUCGGCUUCCGUGGAAUGGACACUAUUCACUACGCCACUUCACCCGAUUCAGGGGUGAUCUGCAGCCGGCUCGUCGCUGCAGGUGAGGAGGAUGUGCUGCUCCCUGGGGCUCAGGCGUCUUCCGUUAGUAGCGGCCCUGGAGAAACUGACCUCUCCAAAAUCUUAGAUGAGGUUCGGUACAUUGCUAAACGCUUCCGGGACCAAGACGAGGAAGAGACUUUGUGUAAUGAGUGGAAGUUUGCAGCAUCUGUUAUUGACCGUCUUUGUCUCAUGGCCUUUUCUCUGUUCACCAUUCUAUGCACCAUUGGUAUCUUAAUGUCUGCCCCAAACUUCGUAGAGGCCAUAUCUAAAGAUUUCUUCACCUGAGGCCUAGGCUCUAUUGUAGUUAUUUUUACUUCUCAGAGCCUCUUAAGUGUGUAACAAUAUAUUUCUUUUAUAGAGUAACUCUCUAAAGUUUGACAUGAAGGAAAUAGUUCACCCAAAAAUGAAAAUUGACUGGUUGUAUUUGUAUGGGAAAAUUGUAUAGGAAGGAGCAGCAUGAACAUUCUGCUCAACAUCUCCUUUUGUAUUUCACACAACAAAGAAAAUUACACCCAGUUUGAAAAAAUGAUUAAUGAAAUUAUGGACUAUUCCUUCAAGACUGGUCUCAACAGAUGUUUUUACGUGUUUGUGUAGUAGUGGCUCUGUAAACUGACACAUUAUUUGUAGUGUGGACCAGAGACAGAGACUGUAGCCUUAAAUGCACUUUAUAAAAGCUUGUUUUUUUGUUUCUGUUUCUUAUAUUUGCUUCACAAAAUCAACAUGCAUCUAUGAGUUUCUGUAUUGUUGUAUCUACAUCAUUCAUCAUCUAUAGUAAUCACUGCUGUUUGCAUAUCUUCAUGUACAUGUCAUUAUUCCAGUAUAGUAAUUACUGGUGAAUCAUUCCAUGUAUGUGAUGAUAUGAAGGUGGAGAUUUCUACCCAUUUUUUCUUUCAAAAAUAUUGUACAGUAUAAUGACAAAUAAACAUAUUUUUGUAGGUUGAAUCUGUGUUUCUGGGUUGUCUCUCUCUCUCUGGUCUUUCCUUCUAACUUUGUUCUCAUAUUGUUUUGCAUCUAGAUAGUGAGUAAUGCCUCCAUCUGGUGGCUGGUAAUGAAACAGUGUUUUGGGUUUUGGGACACAAAUGUAGAGGCACACACUGCAGGAUUGUGGCCAUAUUACCAUAUGCCUUUUUGAAUUUUUAGAUGUUGUUUUUGUGGCUGUGUGCUUUCUCUCUCUCUCUUUCUGAUUCUCUUAGCAUAUAUCCAGCUUAAACUUAAAGUAAUCCAAUUAAAAUCUUGAAAAAUAGCUCCCUUUUUUAUGUCGUAUUUAAACUUAUAUGCAGUAUGAAUAGGUUCUUUCAUAGUUGACUAAAUAACUAAAUCCGAUGAAAUGAUGUUGGAUAUACAUUUACAUUUAUUCAUUUGAUAGACACAUUUAUCCAAACCAACUUACAAAUAAGGAACAUCACAAACAAUGAAGCAACAAUGUUUGCAGCACACAAUGGCAAAUUUUAAUAUUUUAAGAUUUAAUCUAUAGUUUAGUACACAAGAUUUUGUUUAUGGUUGUGGGUUUGUUAAAGGCACAAUAUGUAAGAUUUUUAUAUUAAAAUAUUCAAAAACCACUUGCGUAGUGUUAUAUACUUCGUUCAGCUGUGUACUUACAUUAUCCUGAAUGUUUCCAAGAAUUUGUAAAUUCAGAUAAAUUCACAAUUUUAAAUAGUGCCCGUCCCUCCCUUGUCGCGUGUCAAUGAUGUAAUAUCUGCGUUAUCCCUGGUUUCCUUGCGCUGCAUAGUAACCAUGGCAACAGACGCGGACAGCUGCGUAACGUCUAGCGGCACGCCGUUGUUGUUUCAUUCAAACAUUAUGGACCAUGGCAAGCAAACUUUGGGACAAAAGGAGAAAUAAAACGAGGAUCAAUAUGGGCGUGCUGUUCCGAGAUGGUGAGAGCUUUGCGACAACUUUGACUUGACAGAGACGCCGCUCUUGCACGUUAUUAGACAAGGUAAGCAAAUGUAGGCAGCAGGCUAAUCAAUGUUAUAUAGCUCAACACGAUGAAAUGUUAGAAUAUCAUCAUUUAGUAAGCUUUACCUCACAACUUUAAUUCGUCAAAUAAACUGACCUGUAUUAGUAGUAUUUCAGCACUUGCGAGUAGUUCGGUAGAAUGAAAUGUCCUCAUUUCUUUCUAUCCCCUGGGACUCGCGUGUGGCACUGAUA